rnacentral:rRNA from 1 species
UACGUAGGGGGCAAGCGUUAUCCGGAUUUACUGGGUGUAAAGGGAGCGUAGGCGGCUCGAUAAGUCUGAUGUGAAAGCCCGGGGCUCAACCCCGGGACUGCAUUGGAAACUAUCGAGCUAGAGUGUGGGAGAGGUAAGUGGAAUUCCUAGUGUAGCGGUGAAAUGCGUAGAUAUUAGGAGGAACACCAGUGGCGAAGGCGGCUUACGGGACCAUAAAUGACGCUGAGGCUCGAAAGCGUGGGGAGCAAACAGG